rnacentral:rRNA from 1 species
UACAGAGGGUGCGAGCGUUAAUCGGAGUUACUGGGCGUAAAGGGCGCGUAGGCGGGUUAAUAAGAUUGAUGUGAAAUCCCUGGGCUUAACCUAGGAACUGCAUCGAUGACUGUGAAUCUAGAGUAUUGCAGAGGGUAGUAGAAUUUCCGGUGUAGCGGUGAAAUGCGUAGAGAUCGGAAGGAAUACCAGUGGCGAAGGCGGCUACCUGGGCAAAUACUGACGCUGAGGCGCGAGAGCGUGGGGAGCAAACAGG